rnacentral:rRNA from 1 species
UGGGGAAUCUUGCACAAUGGAGGAAACUCUGAUGCAGCGACGCCGCGUGAGCGAUGAAGCCCUUCGGGGUGUAAAGCUCUUUCGACGGGAACGAUAAUGACGGUACCCGGAGAAGAAGCUGCGGCUAACUACGUGCCAGCAGCCGCGGUAAUACGUAGGCAGCAAGCGUUGUUCGGAAUUACUGGGCGUAAAGAGUGUGUAGGCGGCGUUCUAAGUCUGGGUGUGAAAUCUCCCGGCUCAACCGGGAGGGUGCGCCGGAAACUGGAAUGCUCGAGCGUGGGAGAGGAAAGCGGAAUUCCUGGUGUAGCGGUGAAAUGCGUAGAGAUCAGGAGGAACACCUGCGGUGUAGACGGCUUUCUGGACCACCUGCUGACGCUGAGACACGAAAGCGUGGGUAGCAAACAGGAUUAGAUACCCUGGUAGUCCACGCCCUAAACGAUGCAUACUUGGUGUGGGCCAUUCAGUUGGUCCGUGCCGGAGCUAACGCGUUAAGUAUGCCGCCUGGGGAGUAC